UAUGAUAACUCAUGCUUUGGUUCUGAUGGGGAGCAGCCAUCAGAGGUAACGGGGAAAGCUUGGUGCAAAUCCAACACUGUCCCGCAACUGUAAGGAGAUAGAAGACAUCAUAAAUCAUCUCUAAGUCAGGAUGCCCGCCGAAGUAAGUCUCUUUAA
rnacentral:ncRNA from 2 species